GGUCUGUGGUGCGAGAUGCUGGAAAGGAGUCUUCGGCCGCUGCUCAGCCCUGCCCCUUUAUAACACUCCAUGAAGAUGUCCUGUGUACAUUCUGCUGGAUUUUGCGAUCUACUUUUGACAUUUCCCCACACCAUGAAGCAAGAGGAAGUCUUUAAAGAUACCAAGAGGACACCCCUCUUCUCCCACAUUGAAAACCCCACUUAUGAAGAGUCAAAGCUAAGUUGUCAAGGAAUGUUUCAGCUUGGCCAGUUUUCUCUUUAAAUUUGAUGCGGAGAGGUCCAUGAUAAUCUUUGCUUUGGUGGCACUAAGCUUGAAGCCAGAUCACAGAGCCUCUAUCACAGAUGCUCAUACAUCUCCUACCUGGUUUGCAUCUGUGAUUCUCCAGCCUAGCUUGAUGUUAGAAUCAUCUGGAGGGAACUUUUAAAAUGACCGGAGCCAAGGGCCCACAUGGAGACUUUGAUUCUACUGGAAUAGGACAAGAACCCCAUAAUCCAGCCAGACUUCACAAUCACAAAGUUGCAGUGAUAACUUC